rnacentral:rRNA from 1 species
AACGCUAGCUACAGGCUUAACACAUGCAAGUCGAGGGGCAUCAGUUUGGUUUGCUCGCAAACCAAAGCUGGCGACCGGCGCACGGGUGAGUAACACGUAUCCAACCUACCUCAUACUCGGGGAUAGCCUUUCGAAAGAAAGAUUAAUAUCCGAUAGCAUAUAUUUCCCGCAUGGGUUUUAUAUUAAAGAAAUUCGGUAUGAGAUGGGGAUGCGUUCCAUUAGUUUGUUGGGGGGGUAACGGCCCACCAAGACUACGAUGGAUAGGGGUUCUGAGAGGAAGGUCCCCCACAUUGGAACUGAGACACGGUCCAAACUCCUACGGGAGGCAGCAGUGAGGAAUAUUGGUCAAUGGACGCGAGUCUGAACCAGCCAAGUAGCGUGAAGGAUGACUGCCCUAUGGGUUGUAAACUUCUUUUAUAUGGGAAUAAAGUGGUCCACGUGUGGACUUUUGUAUGUACCAUAUGAAUAAGGAUCGGCUAACUCCGUGCCAGCAGCCGCGGUAAUACGGAGGAUCCGAGCGUUAUCCGGAUUUAUUGGGUUUAAAGGGAGCGUAGGCGGAUUGUUAAGUCAGUUGUGAAAGUUUGCGGCUCAACCGUAAAAUUGCAGUUGAUACUGGCAGUCUUGAGUGCAGUAGAGGUGGGCGGAAUUCGUGGUGUAGCGGUGAAAUGCUUAGAUAUCACGAAGAACUCCGAUUG